UCUAUCAGUAAUUGAGGAAGUGCCCUACAGG
rnacentral:piRNA from 1 species